UACGAAGGGGGCUAGCGUUGUUCGGAAUUACUGGGCGUAAAGCGCACGUAGGCGGACUAUUAAGUCAGGGGUGAAAUCCCGGGGCUCAACCCCGGAACUGCCUUUGAUACUGGUAGUCUCGAGUCCGGAAGAGGUGAGUGGAAUUCCGAGUGUAGAGGUGAAAUUCGUAGAUAUUCGGAGGAACACCAGUGGCGAAGGCGGCUCACUGGUCCGGUACUGACGCCGAGGUGCGAAAGCGUGGGGAGCAAACAGG
rnacentral:rRNA from 1 species